UACGUAGGUCCCGAGCGUUGUCCGGUUUUAUUGGGCGUAAAGCGAGCGCAGGUGGUUUAUUAAGUCUGGUGCAAAAGGCAGUGGCUCAACCAUUGUAUGCAUUGGAAACUGGUAGACUUGAGUGCAGGAGAGGAGAGUGGAAUUCCAUGUGUAGCGGUGAAAUGCGUAGAUAUAUGGAGGAACACCGGUGGCGAAAGCGGCUCUCUGGCCUGUAACUGACACUGAGGCUCGAAGGCGUGGGUAUCGAACAGG
rnacentral:rRNA from 1 species